GCGAACGCUGGCGGCAGGCCUAAUACAUGCAAGUCGAGCGGCCCUUCGGGGCAGCGGCGGACGGGUGAGUAACGCGUGGGAACGUGCCCUUUGGUACGGAACAACUGAGGGAAACUUCAGCUAAUACCGUAUGUGCCCUUCGGGGGAAAGAUUUAUCGCCAUUGGAGCGGCCCGCGUUAGAUUAGCUAGUUGGUAGGGUAAUGGCCUACCAAGGCGACGAUCUAUAGCUGGUCUGAGAGGAUGAUCAGCCACACUGGGACUGAGACACGGCCCAGACUCCUACGGGAGGCAGCAGUAGGGAAUCUUGCGCAAUGGGCGAAAGCCUGACGCAGCCAUGCCGCGUGAAUGAUGAAGGUCUUAGGAUUGUAAAAUUCUUUCACCGGGGACGAUAAUGACGGUACCCGGAGAAGAAGCCCCGGCUAACUUCGUGCCAGCAGCCGCCGUAAGAC
rnacentral:rRNA from 1 species